CAGGGGACCACUUCAAAAUGAAAUGUAAAAGGAAGGAAGGCUGAGAAGUACGAGAAAUGUAGCAGAGGACUUCUUAAAUAAGCAGAGAAGAAAGACACACGACGCAAAAUGUGAAAGACAAGAGAGAAAAGUCGCUGAAAGAGCUUAGGAACGGGACCUCCGUGCUCUCGGGAGGUGCCGAUGUAAAAACAAUGCCUUUCAAACUGACUGAACUAUCAACGUGAGAAAACUUUUGCCUGGGUUCAGUCGGGAAAGUUUGGACUCGGUGUCUCCUCCAGUGAAGUCUAGAAUUGACAAAGCACCCACCUGUAUUUUGCGUCACUGGAGCGUCUAGGUUGUGAUGUGAAACCAUGGUGGUGGUGUUGUAAGAUUUUUAGUAAUCACUUUUGAAGGUGAUUAUAUUGGUAGCAGAUCUUGUAACAUCUGUGGGAUUCUUAGUUUGUUAGAAUGGAUUCACAUACAUAUCCUGUGGAAGUAGAGGAAAUUCCGCUAGAGGGAAUUGGACAAGAACAGGACAAUUCCUCUAGCGAGGAUGAACACAGGCAAGUUAACUUACGGAGGGCUUGCACAGAUGUCCACAUGUCACCAAGAAAUACAGAUGUUGCAGCUAAAUGUCAUUCCUAUAGUGGGAGAGAGCAUCGUCUGAAAAACACCCUGCCAUCACGUUCUGGAGGCAAGUACUGUAAUCAU